ACGCUCGACACCUACUGGAGGCAGCAGUUGGGAAUAUUGGACAAUGGAGGAAACUCUGAUCCAGUGACGCCGCGUGAAGGAAGAAGGUCUUCGGAUUGUAAACUUAUUUUGUCAGGGAAGAAAAAAUGACUGUACCUGAAGAAAAAGCACCGGCUAACUACGUGCCAACAGCCGCGGUAAUCUGAGCGGGCGUGGCAAGGCG
rnacentral:rRNA from 1 species